rnacentral:rRNA from 1 species
CCUACGGGUCGUAAACCGCUUUUGCACGGGGAUAACACCCUCCACUUGUGGAGGUCUGCAGGUACCGUGCGAAUAAGGGCCGGCUAAUCCCGUGCCAGCAGCCGCGGUAAUACGGAGGAUGCGAGCGUUAUCCGGAUUUAUGGGGUUUAAAGGGUGCGUAGGCGGGAUGCUAAGUCAGCGGCAAAAAUGCGGUGCUCAACGCCGUCGAGCCGUUGAAACUGGCGUUCUUGAGUGGGCGAGAAGUAUGCGGAAUGCGUGGUGUAGCGGUGAAAUGCAUAGAUAUCACGCAGAACUCCGAUUGCGAAGGCAGCAUACCGGCGCCCUACUGACGCUGAGGCACGAAAGCGUGGGUAUCGAACAGGAUUAGAUACCCUUGUAGUC